GGGCCAAGUGAGGGAAUAAACGCUGGCCACCGCAGCCAGCAGCCGCAACCCUCUAGGUCCCCUUCCAUGCUGUGGAAGCUUUGUUCUUUUGCCCUUUGCAAUCAAUCUUGCUGCUGCUUACUCUUUGGGGCCGCAGUACCUUUGUAAGCUGUAACACUCACCGCAAAGGUCUGCGGUUUCACUCCUGAAGCCAGUGAGACCACGAACCCACUGGGAGGAACGAACAACUCUGGACACACAGCCUUUAAGAGCUGUAACGCUCACUGCGAAGGUGUGCGGCUUCACUCCUGCAGUCAUCAAGACCACGAACCCACCAGAAGGAAGAAACUCUGGACACAUCUGAACAUCUGAAGGAACAAACUCCGGACACACCAUCUUUAAGAACUUUAACACUCACCGCAAGGGUCCACAGCGUCAUUCUUGAAGUCAGUGAGACCAAGAACCCACUGGAAGGAACUAAUUCUGGACACACUGUGAUCACAUCACUGUACUUCAGCCUGGGUGACACAGUGAGACCCUGUCUCUAAUUAAAAACAAAAAUUAGAAUAUUGCUCCUGUGCAAUAUCAAAUGCUUAGUGGAUCUAGGUGAUGAUUGUCAAUGACUGCUAAUAAUACAUGAAGAAACAACCACAUAUUAUAUACUACUAAUCUAUGGAAAUAAGGGAGGGAGAAAUACAUUGAGAAACACUGCAGGAAUGCUAUCAGAAAAGUCCAGAAUAUAAGAAAUUCUAUAUCAAAUAACAUUUUUCAACAAAAGAAACUGAGAGAAAAGAAAAAGAAAUGAAAGCACAAUUUGCAGGUUAAAAGCACUUCUCCUUGCUGCUGCCCUAUGAAGAAGGACAUGUUUGCUUCCCCUUCCCCCGUAAUUGUAAGUUUUCUGAGGCCUCCCCAGCCCUACAGAACGAGUUCAUGUUAUACUGGUGAUUCUUUCGUCUGUCUCAGAGAUGACAGCCUGCUAUACACCUUGUUGACCAAAAGCAACAUCAGGAUGAAGGCCCUGAUACACAGUGUUUGACUCUCUUGUCCUCUGACUUCUGCCACACACAAGGACACAGCGUUCAUCCCACUAAGAAGAAGAUGAAAAAGGGGAUAGCAUGCAGCCACAAGGAACAAUCUCAAAAGCAGAGAGAAGCCCUCACCAGACAACCACACCUGCAGACACCUUGAUCUUGAACUUCUCAGUGUCUAGAACUGUGAAAAAUAAAACUGUGGUCUUUAUAAAUUACCUGGUCUAAGGUACAAUCACAUGUCACUUAACAAUGUAGGGAUGGCCGGGCGUGGUGGCUCAUGCCUGUGAUAGCCCAGCACUUUGGGAGGCCAAAGCGGGCAGAUCACCUGAGGUCGGGAGUUCAAGACCAGCCUGGCCAACAUGGCGAAACUCUAUCUCUACUAAAGAUAUGAAAAUACAGUUGGCCGGGCUGGUGGCACAUGCCUGUAACCCCAGCUACUCAGGCUGAGGCAGGAGAAUCACUUGAACAUGGGAGGCGGAGGUUGCAGUGAGCCAAGAUCGCACCACUGCACUCCAGCCUCGGCAACAGAGUGAGACUCUGUUUCAAAAAAAAAAAAAAAAAGACAGUGUGGGGAUACAUUCUGAGAAAUGCGUUGUUAGGUGAUUUCCUUGUUGUGUGAACAUCACAGAGUGCACUUACACAAACCUAAAUGCUGUAACCUACUACACACCUGGGCUCGAUGGCAAAGCCUAUUCCUCCUGGGCUACAAAUCUGGACAGUAUCUUACUAUACUGAGUACCAUAGGCAACUGUACCACAAUGGUAAGUAUUUGUGUAUCUAAACACAGAAAAGAUACAGUAAAACUGAGGUAUGAGAGAGAAAAAAAUAGUACACCUUUACAGGUGUACAGACACUUACCACGAAUGGAGCUUGCAGGCCUGGAAGUUGCUCUGGGUGAGACAGUGAGUGAGUGGUGAGCGAAGCUGAAGGCCUAGGACAUUACUGCACACUACUGUAGACUUUGUAAACACUGUAGGCUUUGUAAACAUGCUACACUUAGGCUACACUGAAUUUAUUUUUAUAAAAAUAAAGUAAUUGCACUACGACAUUAUGAUGGCUAUGACAUCGCUAGGUGAUAGGAAUUUUUCAGUUCCAUUAUAAUCUUAUAGGACUACAGUCACAUACGCAGUCUGUUGACCAAAACAUUAUGCAUCUCAUGAUCGUAUUUUAUUACAGCAGAAGAAAUGGACUAAGACACUCCUGCCGCAGGGAUACCUACUAUGUCAGCAGAGCCAGCAGCACCUUGUCUAUGUCUGAGAGAGACUCCAUUGUGGCCUCCUCACCAGUUCACUAGGUGUCUCCUCCAGGAUCCUACAGACUAAAUCCAAUGAUGGGUGAAGUUCCCACAGACAGCCUUAAGAGGGGAAGUACUGGCCAGCAGCAGACAGCCACAACCUCAGAGAGCCAGGUGGGACCAGAUGUUUGCCUACUGGGUGCCGGAUCUACUAUCAUGGUCCAGGGACCCUCAAGGGUAGGGGCCACACACAAGAGCCCCAGUGGCCUACCUGGUGGUUUGGCAGGUAGAAGAGUCCUAGACAGUGCCCAAUGGGCCUCUUCAAGGACAGGCCAAAUCCAUGUUCAAGAUAUAGGCCAGCCCUCUAAGAAAAGAGGAAGAGGAAAUCCAAAAAAAAAAAAAAGAGGCCAAAAAUUCAAGACUUUGGAGGCACCAAUUUGUCUGGCAAUAACCAAUCUGAAAGUAAUACUGGAAUGGGGUGCUAGGGAUCUGCUGAGGUGCCAGGCAUUACUUCUUCUGUUGCUGGACUAGAGAGGAGGUCUAGAAUCCCUUCCCCCUUGGCCCUGGAGAAGGAACAAGGAUGGCCAUGUAAGUAGAGGACAUUGGCUACCUACCAAUCAGUAGGUGAGUUUUAUACUUUAAUAUAUGGUUAAAUACCAGAUCUGCCCUGGAACAUUGUAAGUGUUCAACAAACAUUAGUUAUUAUGAUAUAUGCUAUGAUCAUAAUAUGAACUUUAUGAUGAUUUUUUUUUUGCAGUGUGUUGUUAUUUUAAAUAGGCAGGCUAAGCAACUACUGUCAUCUCCUUUAACAAAUGAAGAAAUUGAGGCCAAUGAGGUUAAAUAACUCAAAUUCACAGUUAAAUACAUCUGUGUCUUCUUUUUUUAAGACUAGGUCUCACUCUGUCACCCAAGAUAGAGUGAAUAGUGCCAUCGUAGCUCACUACAGCCUUGAACCCCUGGGCCCAGGUGAUUCUCCCACCUCAUCACUCCCCUAACCCCAAGAACCUAGGACUGCAAGUGAAUAUUGACAUACCCAGCUAAUUUUUAAUUUUUUCUUAGGGACAGAGUCUCACUGUUUCCCAGGCUGAUCUUGAACUCCUGGCCUCAAAUGAUUCUCCCACUGUGGCCUACCAAAGUUCAUGGAUUACAGGUGUGAGCCACCAUGCCCAGCCCAUGUCUUUUCAUGUAUGUUUCAAUGCACCUUUCCAUCUACCCUCAUGUAGAUGAAGGAUUAAAAUGAUGGGGAAGUACAGAUGUGAAAGGGUGGAUAGAGGGAUACAGCUGAAAAAAUAACAAGCUUGAAAUAUAUGUAUAUCUAAACCAGAUUCAAGAAGUAGAAAGCAACUAAAAAUAGAGGAAUACAAUCAGAUAUGGCAAGGUUCAAUGUGCAGGAGAAAUUGAGAGAACCUAUGGUUUCAUGAAAGAUAUAUCAAAUUUUCUUAACCUUGUAAGUUAUAUAUCCACAAGUCAAAAAAAAUUCAACAUUUUGUGAGAAAUCCUAGUUUAAAGCCAAUGACAUAAUGUGAUUUCUAUUGUUUCCUUUUACUUUCAAAAGUGUUCUAAUUUGGGUAAUAAAUUAUAUGCUUACUCUUUAUACUUAAAUUGAUGAUAUGUGGUCUCAUGGAAGGUGGACCAUUUUUUGAAAGCCCUUUAUCAUCAGACUGACUGUGGUUCUAAAAUACUAACAAUUCAGAGAAUAAAAUAGUCUGAAGAUGGGUGGGAAAGACCACAAGUAUAGACAGAGGGCUACUGGAGUUCACAGGAGAGAAAACCUUUGAGAUGGUUGGGAAAUGAAUCUGUACAUCCCUAUAAGCAAUAAAAGGACACCACUGACAUGAAUAGUUCAGUCCUUAAGCAGAACAUCACCUCACUCUGAGGACAAAGGAGGUCACUGGCACUCUUGUCCUUUUCCUAUUUUCUCUCCCUGUGAGAACAUCAAAGGAUUAGGAGCUGAGAAAUUUUGCAAGCGAUCUGAGAUGAUAAUAAAAGGGUUAAAAAGAGGCUCUUUGUGAUGAAAGAGGAGCCAAGAAGAAGGAGAAAACUUCUUUAGCACAAUAAAAAAGAGUUAUGUUUUAUAAGAAGUAGAAUCAAUGUUAUACAAUAAAAUCAAUAUACUAUUUUCAGAUGAACAUAAGCUGCACUGUCUUUGGAAUAAAAUUAGUUGUUCUUGUACAGAACAAUUGUCAAUUUAGGGCUACACUGCAUCCAUUACUUUUUCCCACAGGCUUUUCAUUUUUC
rnacentral:lncRNA from 10 species